rnacentral:rRNA from 1 species
UACGAAGGGGGCUAGCGUUGCUCGGAAUUACUGGGCGUAAAGGGCGCGCAGGCGGCUCAGACAGUCAGAUGUGAAAGCCCCGGGCUUAACCUGGGAACUGCAUUUGAUACUACUGAGCUUGAGUACGGGAGAGGAUAGUGGAAUUCCCAGUGUAGAGGUGAAAUUCGUAGAUAUUGGGAAGAACACCGGUGGCGAAAGGCGGCUAUCUGGACCGUAACUGACGCUGAGGCGCGAAAGCGUGGGGAGCAAACAGG